CUAUUUAUUAUCAACAAAAAAUAAUUGGCUAGGUUUCUUGAAUUCUUAAUAAAGAAAAGGCUUCAAGUGCUCCCUAUCGAUUUACCAGAUCCUAAUUUCGUACGAAAAUUUUCAUCAAUCACCAAUUGGUUUUGAUUCCACGAUGAGCCACAGUCAAUGGUGUAUCCAAGUUUGAAGUUCAAUGAUGGAGUCAAGUUCAAUGGUUGAAUCAAGUUAGAGAUGAGUGUUCAUCUUGACGGGUGUAGUUUUAGCCGCUACCUAUUUAACACUUAUGAAGAUUUACAUUGGAGAAAUUUUUUCAGAAAAAUUCUCUAUGUUGAGACUUAAAAUUUUGCAAAGGAAUUUAUGAAGAGGAGAUGCAAAUUUUUGAGAUGAUGUGAAUAAUGUGAACAAAUUUAUUUGGUCAGAAAUUCAGUCUAAAAUAGUUGUCCACAAUACUAAAAA